GAUGAAGAACGUAGCGAAAUGCGAUAACUAAUGUGAAUUGCAGAAUUCAGUGAAUCAUCGAGUCUUUGAACGCACAUUGCGCCCCCUGGUAUUCCGGGGGGCAUGCCUGUCCGAGCGUCAUUGCUGCCCUCAAGCACGGCUUGUGUGUUGGGCUCCGUCCCCCGGGGACGGGUCCGAAAGGCAGCGGCGGCACCGAGUCCGGUCCUCGAGCGUAUGGGGCUUUGUCACCCGCUCUGUAGGCCCGGCCGGCGCCAGCCGACAACCAAUCAUCCUUUUUUCAGGUUGACCUCGGAUCAGGUAGGGAUACCCGCUGAACUUAAGCAUAUCAAUAAGCGGAGGA
rnacentral:misc_RNA from 1 species